AUGUGGGAUGGAACGUCCUACUCCUCUCUGACUCCACAUUCAUUUCUCUGCCUGCAGAAAAGAAGCUCAUUUAUCUCCAGUGUCACUCCUUUUUUAUUCCUUCAUUUUCUUUGGCUCUGUUCAUGCACAUACAGCUUUCUUCCCUGUGCCCGGGAUAAUAUUGGACUCAGUAACUGAUCCCAUGAUGGAUGAGUAUUGCAUGAAAUCCCACUUUCAGAUGGACGCUAAAAAGAGUAAGAUCAUAUUUAUUCUUUUUGAUAGGGCACCAUUAUGAGAAACAGUUUGACAUAUUUAGGGACAUGUCAGAACAUUUCCUUUGCAUUCCUUUUUAGACUUUCCACUUCACAUUUACAUGUUUUUUUCUUUGUCUUGUUUUCCAGUAAACUUCCUUAAAUCAGCUUUUUUAUUGAGAAGAAAAAUUGCAUAAUGUAAGACCUGCAUUAAUUUUUUUCCCAAUAUCUUGAAUUUAAUUCAUUUUUCCCAUUUAAUGAAUUUAUUUGAUUCAUAACCCCAGUAGCAAUUUUUUUAAUUAUUAUUUUAAAUAUAAUGGGAAUUUAUGCUUUAAAAACAAAACUGAUUGCAGUUUAUGUUAUGAUGUUUUUUUUUUUGUUUGUUUGUUUGUUUGUUUGUUUUUUUUAGGCGGAAUUAAACUAUUUUUAUUCAGUGAAUCCGUUCUUGUAAAUUCUAUGAUUUUUGGGUUAAGCCACUGUUACAGUUUCUUUUUUAUGAAAGCCUUUCUGUAACUCUGAACAGACAAAAUAACCAAUUCGUAAUGCAGAGCUGCAGCCACAUACCUGCUUGCAAACAGAGAUAAAUCAUAUUCCCACCCCUGCUUCUCAUUUUAUGCCUCUUCCUAGGAAAGCUUCUUCUUACAUGAAGCGUUGUAAUCUGGUGCUUUUGGUGCUGUGGCAUGGUUAACAUGAGGGUGUGAGUUCUGAACUCUAAAAAGGACAAUAGUACAGUCAUGGGGAGCACAAGGGCAAAGCCGCAGUGAGAGUGAAGCAGAGGACUUGUGGAGACCUGUAAGGCCUCUAUACCAAAAAAAGGACCCGUGUUCCAGGACCUCUCCUGCCAGUCUCCCAUGGAUUACCUUCCAGGGCCUAUAUGGAUUAAAUGUUCUUAAGAAGCGGUAAGACUAUCCAACAAAGUGUUUGGAAGGCUUUAACAUGUCAGGCUUUGAGUGAACUAAGAUUUCAAGGGCCAAAUGAUAUCCAGUGAGAGCCAUGUCAAGCCCUUUGGUUGCAUAAGAAAUGACUUUUAUGGACUGCUACAAUGGACCAAGAGAGCAAAAAAAAACUGUUUAUACAAAAUUAAUAUAUGAAAAUCAUCCCAACAAUAGCUCAUCGUUCAAAUCUUGAAGAAGACAAAUACAGCUGAGCGACACUGAAAGAAAUAUAGAUAUAUAGAAAGGUCUGGUUAUAAUUAUGGCCUUUCCAAGAUGAUGCAGUUUUGACAGUCAGAACCCCUCCUGGGACCUUCUGAAGGACACGUCCACCAGAAUGGAGGCUGGAGGGUGAGGUUGAGGAGCUUCAUGCCAUCUUCUAGGCACCUCCGGACCGUCAUACUCCUCUAGAACUUGUCAACUGCUUGUGUUCAAGUUCCCUUAAAAGAACAAGGAUUCUGCGCCAGGCCACUCGUAAAUAAUCCCUCUCCAUUGGGAAGCAGCUGAUCCAGGAAGAGCGGCCGAGUUUUGAUACUUAUUACAGAUGCAGAAAAUUUCAUUUUGAUAAAGCAGAACUGGGUUUAACGACCUCUCUGAUCACAAGGGGAAAGCAUCUCUGCACUGUCCAUCUGAUGUAUUUAUUAGCCUUGUUUGUACAUACAAGGUAAUGGAGUUCAGCGGCUGUGGAGAAGAGGGAUCGGCUACAGGUCUCGUCUACUUGAAUGAAUAACUCUUUCUGC
ensembl:lncRNA